AAUUUUGGACAAUGGGGGGAACCCUGAUCCAGCCAUGCCGCGUGUGUGAAGAAGGCCUUCGGGUUGUAAAGCACUUUUGUCAGGAAAGAAAGGUCGCCGGAUAAUACCUUGCUGUUUUGACGUUACCGACAGAAUAAGCACCGGCUAACUUCGUGCCAGCAGCCGCGGUAAUACGAAGGGUGCAAGCGUUAAUCGGAAUUACUGGGCGUAAAGCGCGCGUAGGUGGUUCAGUAAGAUGGGUGUGAAAUCCCCGGGCUUAACCUGGGAACUGCUUUCAUAACUGCCGAGCUAGAGUACGGUAGAGGGUAGUGGAAUUUCCUGUGUAGCGGUGAAAUGCGUAGAUAUAGGAAGGAACACCAGUGGCGAAGGCGACCACCUGGGCUAAUACUGACACUGAGGUGCGAAAGCGUGGGGAGCAAAC
rnacentral:rRNA from 1 species